rnacentral:rRNA from 1 species
AAAGCGUGCGCAGGCGGUUAUAUAAGACAGAUGUGAAAUCCCCGGGCUCAACCUAGGAACUGCAUUUGUGACUGUAUAGCUGGAGUGCGGCAGAGGGGGAUGGAAUUCCGCGUGUAGCAGUGAAAUGCGUAGAUAUGCGGAGGAACACCGAUGGCGAAGGCAAUCCCCUGGGCCUGCACUGACGCUCAUGCACGAAAGCGUGGGGAGCAAACAGGAUUAGAUACCCCGGU